rnacentral:rRNA from 1 species
AAUGGGCGGUACAAAGGGUCGCGAACCCGCGAGGGGGAGCCAAUCCCAAAAAGCCGACUCCUCAGUUCGGAUUGCAGGCUGCAACUCGCCUGCAUGAAGCCGGAAUCGCUAGUAAUCGCGGAUCAGCAUGCCGCGGUGAAUACCGGUUCCCGGGCCUU